rnacentral:rRNA from 1 species
GACAGAGGCCUCGAGCGUUAGGCGGAAUCACUGGGCUUAAAGCGCGUGUAGGCGGACCGUUAAGUACCUUGUGAAAUCCCACGGCUCAACCGUGGAACUGCUGGGUAUACUGGCGGUCUUGGGCCAUCCAGGGGUCGCCGGAACAAGCGGUGGAGCGGUGAAAUGCGUAGAUAUCAGGAGGAACACCCGUAGCGAAGGCGGCACUCUGGGCCGAUACUGACACUGAGGAGCGAAAGCGUGGGGAGCGAACAGG